rnacentral:rRNA from 1 species
AGCGAACGCUGGCGGCAGGCCUAACACAUGCAAGUCGAACGGAUCCUUCGGGAUUAGUGGCGGACGGGUGAGUAACACGUGGGAACGUGCCCUUUGGUUCGGAACAACUCAGGGAAACUUGAGCUAAUACCGGAUGUGCCCUUCGGGGGAAAGAUUUAUCGCCAUUGGAGCGGCCCGCGUCUGAUUAGCUAGUUGGUGGGGUAAAGGCCCUCCAAGGCGACGAUCAGUAGCUGGUCUGAGAGGAUGAUCAGCCACAUUGGGACUGAGACACGGCCCAAACUCCUACGGGAGGCAGCAGUGGGGAAUCUUGCGCAAUGGGCGAAAGCCUGACGCAGCCAUGCCGCGUGAAUGAUGAAGGUCUUAGGAUUGUAAAAUUCUUUCACCGGGGACGAUAAUGACGGUACCCGGAGAAGAAGCCCCGGCUAACUUCGUGCCAGCAGCCGCAGUAAGAC